rnacentral:rRNA from 1 species
UACACUCCUACGGGAGGCAGCAGUGGGGAAUAUUGCACAAUGGGCGCAAGCCUGAUGCAGCCAUGCCGCGUGUAUGAAGAAGGCCUUCGGGUUGUAAAGUACUUUCAGCGGGGAGGAAGGCAAUACGGUUAAUAACCGUGUUGAUUGACGUUACCCGCAGAAGAAGCACCGGCUAACUCCGUGCCAGCAGCCGCGGUAAUACGGAGGGUGCAAGCGUUAAUCGGAAUUACUGGGCGUAAAGCGCACGCAGGCGGUCUGUCAAGUCGGAUGUGAAAUCCCCGGGCUCAACCUGGGAACUGCAUUCGAAACUGGCAGGCUUGAGUCUUGUAGAGGGGGGUAGAAUUCCAGGUGUAGCGGUGAAAUGCGUAGAGAUCUGGAGGAAUACCGGUGGCGAAGGCGGCCCCCUGGACAAAGACUGACGCUCAGGUGCGAAAGCGUGGGGAGCAAACAGGAUUAGAAACCCCGGUAGUCCCAU